CCUACGGGAGGCAGCAGUGGGGAAUUUUCCGCAAUGGGCGAAAGCCUGACGGAGUGACGCCGCGUGGGGGACGAAGGCCUUCGGGUCGUAAACCCCUGUCAGAGGGAAAGAAGGGUGUCGGCGUGAAUAGCGCCGGCAUCUGACGGUACCUUCAGAGGAAGCCCCGGCCAACUCUGUGCAGCAGCCGCGGUAAGACAGAGGGGGCAAGCGUUGCUCGGAAUCACUGGGCGUAAAGGGCGCGUAGGCGGGAUGGCAAGUCGGUCGUGAAAUCCUUCGGCUCAACCGAAGAACGUCGGCCGAUACUGCCGUUCUUGAGGGAUGCAGAGGAGAUUGGAAUUCCCGGUGUAGCGGUGAAAUGUGUAGAGAUCGGGAGGAACACCGGUGGCGAAGGCGGGUCUCUGGGCAUCUCCUGACGCUGAGGCGCGAAAGCGUGGGGAGCAAACGGGAUUAGAUACCCCGGUAGUCCACGCUGUAAACGAUGACGACUAGGUGUGGGGGGGGUUAGUCCUUUCCGUGCCGCAGCUAACGCAUUAAGUCGUCCGCCUGGGGAGUACGGCCGCAAGGUUGAAACUCAAAGGAAUUGACGG
rnacentral:rRNA from 1 species